rnacentral:rRNA from 1 species
GACGAACGCUGGCGGCGUGCUUAACACAUGCAAGUCGAACGGAAAGGCCCUGCUUUUGUGGGGUGCUCGAGUGGCGAACGGGUGAGUAACACGUGAGUAACCUGCCCUUGACUUUGGGAUAACUUCAGGAAACUGGGGCUAAUACCGGAUAGGAGCUCCUGCUGCAUGGUGGGGGUUGGAAAGUUUCGGCGGUUGGGGAUGGACUCGCGGUUUAUCAGCUUGUUGGUGGGGUAGUGGCUUACCAAGGCUUUGACGGGUAGCCGGCCUGAGAGGGUGACCGGCCACAUUGGGACUGGGGUGCGGCCCAGAGUCAUACGGGAGGCAGCAGUGGGGAAUAUUGCACAAUGGGCGGAAGCAGGAUGCAGCAACGCCGCGUGCGGGAUGACGGCCUUCGGGUUGUAAACCGCGUUCGCCUGUGACGAAGCGUGAGUGACGGUAAUGGGUAAAGAAGCACCGGCUAACUACGUG